rnacentral:lncRNA from 1 species
UGUCUUCUUCGUUAAACAAUAUCGACCAAAACCCUAAUUUUUUUAAGUCUCCAAAAUGAUGAUUUGAUGAGUGGUGAAGAAUUAUUGGAUCCCGGUGACUGUGCGGUGGUGCGGUGGAAGGAGAACGGCGGUGAUCGGUAAACGGAGAGGACAGCGGUGGUCGGCGUAUGACGGUUAAUGAUCGAUGAUGAUGGAGAGUGAAUGACGGUGAUGAAGACGGCCGGAGAAGGUGCAGGUGAUUAACGAUGGUUACGAGUGAAGAUGAUGAAGAUCGGAGUUAAGAAGGAUGGUCGGAUGAAGAGAUGACCGGAGAUGGUGAUGAACGAUAGAACGAUGAAGAUAGUGAUGAUGAGUCGAGACUGGUGAGGUGAGGAGUCGAGACCGUGACUCGAAAUCGUGAGAGAUGGGACUCGAGACCUGUUGACUCGAGACCUCAACUAGUGAGAUGGUUAAGGAUGUGCUGGUCGGAGACGUUUUGCGGCGGAGAUGAUAUGCAGGUUGUGGCGGAUGUGCGGUGGUUGACGAUUGCGACCCGAGACAAUGGAUGUUGAUAACUCGAGAUCUCGGUUGCGACUCGGAACCGUGAAAGAGAUAACUCGAGACCAGUGGAGGUGAUGGAGGUUGCGAGUCGGAACGAUGUUUGCGAGUCGGAACAGUGGAAAUGACUCGAGACCAAGUGAUAACUCGAAACCUCUGUGAUAGAGACAACUCGAGACCAGUGGUACUCGAGACCGUGAAGGAUGAAGUUGAUGACUCGAGACAAUGAUGUCGGCUGGAUUUUGUUGCUACUCGAGACCCUGUAGAGAUGAGUCGAGACCUUGAACAGAUGAUGAAGUUGAUGUGAGGAAAAUGUGAGGAUAGCUGUUUCCUUAAAAAUGGAGUCGAGACCAAUUGAUGAUAUUUUGAAACAAGGAUCUGGUCAACCAAAUUUUUUACCUUUUAUUUUUAAAUUUGGAAACAAGAAUUUCAAAAAAAAUAUCAACCAGAAUUUUUAGAAAUUUUGGGAAUUUGAUAAUUUGGAAAGAUGAUAAUGAAUACCUUUUAAAUAUUUCAAAAGAUU